AAUGCAUGUUGUGGGCAAGAGCACAACAAAUCUUUGAUUCUCUCCCACGUCUCAUGAAACUGCUCACCAUCAUGUUGAUAGAAGCUUGCAAUUGCGCUUCUAAUCUC